AUUGAACGCUGGCGGCAUGCUUUACACAUGCAAGUCGAACGGUAACAGGUCUUCGGAUGCUGACGAGUGGCGAACGGGUGAGUAAUGUAUCGGAACGUGCCCAGUAGUGGGGGAUAACUACUCGAAAGAGUGGCUAAUACCGCAUGAGAACUGAGGUUGAAAGCGGGGGACCUUCGGGCCUCGCGCUACUGGAGCGGCCGAUAUCAGAUUAGGUAGUUGGUGGGGUAAAGGCCUACCAAGCCGACGAUCUGUAGCUGGUCUGAGAGGACGACCAGCCACACUGGGACUGAGACACGGCCCAGACUCCUACGGGAGGCAGCAGUGGGGAAUUUUGGACAAUGGACGCAAGUCUGAUCCAGCAAUGCCGCGUGCAGGACGAAGGCCUUCGGUUGGUAACUAGCUUUUGUACUAGAACGAAAGGGACGUCUGGUUAAUACCUUGGGGCAGAUGACGGUACUGUAAGAAUAAGCACCGGCUAACUACGUGCCAGCAGCCGCGGUAAAG
rnacentral:rRNA from 1 species